GUGCUCGCUUUGGCAGCACGUAUACUAAAAUUUGAAUGAUACAGAGAAGAUUAGCAUGGCCCCUGCACAAGGAUGACACGCAAAAAUAUAGCAGAUAGUAUAUGUGA